rnacentral:rRNA from 1 species
CAGUCGCCACGGGAAUACGAAGGGGGCUAGCGUUGCUCGGAAUGACUGGGCGUAAAGGGCGCGUAGGCGGAUGGCACAGUCAGAUGUGAAAUUCCCGGGCUUAACCUGGGGGCUGCAUUUGAUACGUGUUGUCUAGAGUGAGGAAGAGGGUCGUGGAAUUCCCAGUGUAGAGGUGAAAUUCGUAGAUAUUGGGAAGAACACCGGUGGCGAAGGCGGCGACCUGGUCCUUUACUGACGCUGAGGCGCGAAAGCGUGAGGAGCAAACAGGAUUAGAUACCCCCGUAGUCCCUGUCUCUUUACA